rnacentral:rRNA from 1 species
GACGAACCGUCCAAACGUUAUUCGGAAUCACUGGGCUUACAGAGUUCGUAGGCGGUCUGGAAAGUUGGGUGUGAAAUCCCUCGGCUCAACCGAGGAACUGCGCUUGAAACUACCAGACUCGAGGGAGAUAGAGGAAAGCGGAACUGAUGGUGGAGCGGUGAAAUGCGUUGAUAUCAUCAGGAACACCGGUGGCGAAGGCGGCUUUCUGGGUCUUACCUGACGCUGAGGAACGAAAGCCAGGGGAGCGAA